AAACAGGGGCGCUUUUUGCUGAGAUGGAAUUUUUUCCGGUCCCUUCAGAACCUGAUACGGAUAAUACCGGCGUAGGGAGAUUUUUUAUUU
rnacentral:ncRNA from 1 species